rnacentral:rRNA from 1 species
CGGUAUGUUUCAUGACUGGGGUGAAGUCGUAACAAGGUCUUCGUAGGUGAACCUGCAGAAGGAUCA